CUUGUAUCUCACAGACAAAUUCAGGAUUAACUUUAGUCAAGACCACUCUGAUGCCAGCUUACCAAAGCUGCUAGCCAACAUCGUGGUGGUCUCCCAAUGAUUUUACUGCUCCACAUGAAGAGGAACAGCUUUGACCCCAACAGUCUUAUUAGUGUUUCUAAGAAAGACAAUGAAGUUCAUGGAGGAAGUAUGGGGGGUUGGGGGGCAGGUUGGUAUUUUGUUUGAGACAGGUCUCACUAUGUUGCUCUGUCUGGCCUGGAACUCACCGUGUAGACCAAGCAUCCUGAGUGCUGAUACAAACGGCGUGCACCUCCACAAUGAGCAGAAGUGUGCAUCUUUCAAGUGAGCAACAAAAGACAUGAGGAGUGGAAGCCGCCCUGAAGGCUGCUUUGACUGCAUUGUUAGUGGCUGUCCCUAGACAAGUGAAAGCCCCUGGACUGUGGGAAAGACUGUAACAGGAUAUUGAUAUUUAUUAAGUGUUGGAAAAGUAACGUAACAGUUGAAGCGAGGACUCCUCUGGCCCUCUGUGGACCUCCACGAACGAUGACUUUCAUGGCAAGCUGAAGACAGGUCUAUGUGACUCCAUGACACAUGGUGUCUAUGUGACUCCAGCUCACCUCCUUGCCUCCUAAGUCGAUGAACCAGCAGGUAUGGUGGCAUGAACAGUGAGGCCAGAGGGUACCAAGUGCUCCCAGCCAUCUAGAAAUGAAGCCAUGAAUCUGACUGCUUUCUCUCCUGACUUUCUACAUAGACUCUUCGUUCCUUCCUGCCUGGAUGGGAGUUCCUGCACAAC
rnacentral:lncRNA from 1 species